rnacentral:rRNA from 1 species
GAUGAACGCUGGCGGCGUGCCUAAUACAUGCAAGUCGAGCGAACGGACGAGAAGCUUGCUUCUCUGAUGUUAGCGGCGGACGGGUGAGUAACACGUGGAUAACCUACCUAUAAGACUGGGAUAACUUCGGGAAACCGGAGCUAAUACCGGAUAAUAUUUUGAACCGCAUGGUUCAAAAGUGAAAGACGGUCUCGCUGUCACUUAUAGAUGGAUCCGCGCUGCAUUAGCUAGUUGGUAAGGUAACGGCUUACCAAGGCAACGAUGCAUAGCCGGACUGAGAGGUUGAACGGCCACAUUGGGACUGAGACACGGCCCAG